ACCGUCGUUGGUUCCGGGCUUUCAUAUCCCUUCUCUUUGCUGGCUCUUCCAGUACCCCCUGCAACAGGGCCCUUUGAUCUGCUCCUGCAUUUUUCUUUUCUUUUCUUUCUUUUUUUCUUCUUUUGAGACAGUCUCGCUCUGUCGCCCAGGCUGGAGUGCAAUAGCACGAUCUUGCAACCUCUGCCUCCUGGGUUCAAGCGAUUCUCCUGUCUCAGCCUCACGAGUAGCUGCAGCACCAUACCCGGCUAAUUUUUGUUUUGUUUUGUUUUGUUGAGACGGAGUCUCGUUCUGUCGCCCAGGCCGGAGUGCAGUGGCACGAUCUCAGCUCACUGCAACCUUCACCUCCUGGGUUCAAGCGAUUCUCCUGCCUCAGCCUCCUGAGUAGCUGGGAUUACAGGCGCACACCACCAUGCCCAGCUAAUUUUUGUAUUUUUAAUAGACGGGGUUUCACCAUAUUGGUCAGGCUGGUCUUGAACUCCUGCCCACCUCGGCGUCCCAAAGUGUUGGGAUUACAGGCGUGAGCCACCACGCCCGGCCAUUUUUUAAUUUUUAAUAGAGAUGAAGGUUUCACCAUGUUGGCCAGGCUGGUCUUGAACUCCUGACUUCAAGUAAUCUGCUCGCUUCAGCCUCCCAAAUUGUUGGGAUUACAGGCGUGAGCCACUGUACCCUGCCUUCUUUUCUUUUUUUGAUAUAGGGUCUCGCUCUGUCACCCAGCCUGGAGUGCAGUGGGGUGAUCGUGGCUCAUUGCAGCCUCAAACUCCUGGGCUCAAGCAAUCCUCCUGUCUCAGCCUCCCAAAGUGCUAGGAUUACAGGUGCAGAGCACCAUGCCUUGCCUGCUCCUGAAUUUCAGCAGACCCUCAGCAUGCCUCCUUCCCUGGCAGCAGCAGGGUCUUUUGGAAGUGCCAACCUGGCCCAGCACCCUCCUGUCCUCAGGGCCUGGCCACAGCAGGCAUUCAGAAGACAUUGUGGCCCCAACCCCACACACACCGGAUCAGUUCUAGGGUUGGGACAGGGCCCAUCAGCCAAGCAGGUGGGUCCCAGAGGAGCUGGGAGACUUGGAGAGGGGGCUGCGCUACCCAGUGGAGCUGAGUCGCUCUAAUGAAGUGGACUAGCUGCAGGCCACAUUGAUUUCACGUCUCUGUGGCCACGUCCCAGCUGGUAAAUGUCACUGGAGAGUGCAGCCGUGGCACCUGGCAUGGGUCCAGUAGUGAGUGGGAGCUGGCAGGUUGCCAGAGGGGCCGGGGAUGCCCAUGAAAUGCUGAUACCAGUCCAGGGUCUCCAGCGCCUCCAGACGCUCCCGCCAAUCCCUGAAGAGGGGCUGUACCCAGUCGGCUGAAGCUGUCACCCCCCUGGGGAUAUCUGCAACCACCAGCCCCUCUCCUGCUAUCAACAUACAAUGGACUGACGCCAGUUGCUGGGAGGGUUGCCCCUUUCUUUUUGUGGUGGCAGUUUAGGGUGGUCUAGAGAUGGGCCCAGCAGCCCAGGGCCCAGGAGUCAAGGCGCAGCCGUGUGAGGACCCCUCCUGGCCCACCGCCCUACCAACCCUGAGCUGUCUCCUUUGAUAACUGGCUCAGGACAAGCUAAGAGUAAGCAGCCAUAACCACACAGUGGCAGGCCUGGUUUAAUAAACUCUCACUGCAGCCAGUACUGGCUCAGAACCGGUCCCUGUGAUCUCAUUCAACCCCACGGCAAUCCUGUUGUGGAUUCUGAAUGCACUCCAUUGUUCAGGAGGGGAACGUGAGGCUGAGAGGCCAAGUCCUCAACUCUGAGCAGCACUGGGGGGCCCGGACACCCCCAUCCCGAGUUCAUCCACGGCCCUCAUGGGACCCCUUCUCUGUUCCAGCUCCCCACCCCCAUCUGCCCUGCACCUUUCUCCCCUUCGCCAUCUCAUGGGAUGGUGGGG
ensembl:lncRNA